GCUUACGGCCAUACCACCCUGAGAACGCCUCAUCUCGUCUGAUCUCGGAAGCUAAGCAGGGUCGGGCCUGGUUAGUACUUGGAUGGGAUUCCGCCUGGGAAUACCAGGUGCUGUAAGCU
rnacentral:rRNA from 1 species